UAGGGAAUCUUCCACAAUGGGCGAAAGCCUGAUGGAGCAAUGCCGCGUGUGUGAAGAAGGUCUUCGGAUCGUAAAGCACUGUUGUAAGUGAAGAAUGCCAUAUAGAGGAAAUGCUAUGUGGGUGACGGUAGCUUACCAGAAAGCCACGGCUAACUACGUGCCAGCAGCCGCGGUAAUACGUAGGUGGCAAGCGUUAUCCGGAAUCAUUGGGCGUAAAGGGUGCGUAGGUGGCACGAUAAGUCUGAAGUAAAAGGCAACAGCUCAACUGUUGUAUGCUUUGGAAACUGUCGAGCUAGAGUGCAGAAGAGGGCGAUGGAAUUCCAUGUGUAGCGGUAAAAUGCGUAGAUAUAUGGAGGAACACCAGUGGCGAAGGCGGUCGCCUGGUCUGUAACUGACACUGAUGCACGAAAGCGUGGGGAGCAAAUAGGAUUAGAUACC
rnacentral:rRNA from 1 species